ensembl:lncRNA
CCAGGGAAUGUUCGGUUUGGUUCCCAGCCAGAAUGGUUACAUAUUUCAGAUUAAGAUGCUGCUUUUACUGGAGUGAUCCUAUCUGCAGUAUCUUAAGCUGCAGUGUGCGUGUGUGCACACACGCACGCACACAACCGCACUCACGUGCAUGCUUUAAAUAUUUGUGUGCCUCUGACCUUAUAAAAAAAGAAAGAAAGUAAAAAAAAAAAGGAACUGUAUCUUUGAGAGAAAGCAUGUAAAUCCAAACCACACAAUCAUAUGGUUUGGAGAAGGGAAACUUCGCCUCUUCUUGCUUUGAAGUGGCGGGGCUGAUCGCACUGAUGCUGAUUCAAAGCCCUGUGACUGCUUUCCAUGCCGUGAUGCUCACACCGUGGUGGAGAGGGGAACUGGGAGCUCACCUCCAGCUCUGAAUGAGGAUGGGGGCUCCCAGCAGGACCCAAUGGGUGGGGACCACAGGUUUUCCUCUGCACUUCAAGCCUCCCGCUGCUGUGCUCCUGCUCUCAGCAUUGUGCCUGGCUGUGCCCAUGAGCCUCUGCUCCCACCAAAGGGAAUAUGUGAUGAGAGCCACUCGUCGCUUCUGAUCAUUUUCUUUCAUCCCCCUGGAGCGCUGGGGGUGGGAACAGGAGGGCGACGGGGUCUGCUCAGAGGGAUGCAGUACUGCUGCCCCAGCAUGCGUCACUGGGAUCAGCAUGGAGGAUGUUCUUGCCUCUAAUCCCAUGCUGAAGGUAUUGUGUGUGCUGCUUCCUCCUUGGAUAAACAGCAGACAGCGCAGGCUGUGUCUCGCUGGGUAUCUUACAAAGGCUGCCUGGUUUCCCUGCUCUGUGCUGCUGCAGUGUGAUGUUGAUGCUUGUCAACAGAAAGCCUCUCUGUAGCAUGCUGAGCCCAUUUCCUCGGUGCGUGGACAUGCUGUUUAGCAAAGCUAUGUUGUUUGAGACUUUGUUAUGAAAAGAGAUCACAAAAAACAGCUUUUGAGCCUUAUAUCUGCCAAGUCUCUAAAAUAACGCACCAUAACUUGGGGAAAGCUGUUGAUUUACACCCUGCGGUGGGUUUGUGUUUUAACAAAGGUUUUGCAAUAGUUCAUAAGCUUCAUCCAAUUAUUUUUUUUUUAGCCAUAACUGAGAGCAGACAGAAACAUAGAAUCGUUAUGGUUGAAAAAAUGACCACUAAGAUUCCCAACUCCAACCCCAGCCCACCCCACCAUACACAUCACCACGUCCCUCAGUGCCACAUCCCCAUAUUUCUGGAGCACCUCCAGGGUUGGUGACCCCACCACUCCUUGGGCAGCUGUGCCGGUGCAGCACUGCUCUUUUGGAGGAGUUUUCCCUAAUAUCCAACCUGAACCUCCCCUGGAGCAAUCUGAGGUCAAUCCCUCUCAUCCUAUCAACUCAACCAUGAUCUCCCCGCAGUGCCCUGUUUGAUGGUGGGGCUUCCAUCACUGACCUCUGUGUGAGCUCUGCCACCACACUCGUGCUCAGCCCAUGGCAAUACAAGUGCUCUCCAUCAAGGAUGGAGCAGCAGUUUCACAGCACUGGGUGGGUUUGCAAGCAGCCUGCAGAGGGUGGAGAAGCACCUUGUGCCAGUGUCUGGGGGUCAGAUGAGAUUCCAGCACGUGCUUUACACGUGUUAUGUACUUCUGUACUAACCGUGCAUCAAAUUAUAAUGUAAAACCAAAAUAUUUUUGUUGGAUGAGAACGCCCCAUUCAUCAAUCAAUUGACUAAUAGUGUAGAGUAUGGGACACUGUAAUCUAACAAACUUAACAGCUGCUUGAAACAGCUGCUGCUCUCAGCUCUCGUUGGUUUGAGAACUGAGAUCUGAAGUGCUGCAGUUCUGUCUUUGGGGGAGUUUUUCAGGAUUGUUCCUCCAUCUGUGCCAGCAAAGAGCACUCAGGAGUGGGGAUGUAGAACUCCUGGAGCUUCCUGCUGCAUUGCAAACCCUGCUUGUGCCUAAGCUGUUGCUUUAGCAAGGACCCAGGUCUGGAGGUGUUGAAAUCUGCAGCUGGGAAGCAUGCAGGGGGAGCAUGUGGGACCAUCCCGCUGGAGGAGGAUGGUCCUCAGAGUGGGACUUUGGUUCUUCUGCCUUUCACUGGGGUCAUGGUGAAGAAUUGUGAUGUAAGAGAUGCUGCAAAAAAUGGUGAAAAGCUCCGUGUGAAGAGGUUUUGUCCAUGUGAGUCACAUAGUGGGCGCCGGCCUGCUGCUGGGGAGGGCUAUGAAGUAAAACUGGGGGGGGGGGGAAAGGAAAACCCCACAAAGACAGCAGCCACCAACCCCCUAAAGAAGCUCAUCAGAGCCUACUGAAGGACAUUCCCUGGAGAUGAGGUAACUGAAGUUCUGAUAUAGACAGAUGAGGCAGCCCUGGCAUGUUUAUACAGUCAGAGAGUUUACUGCAUUCAAAAAAAAGACCAAAAAUAAAACAAAAAACAAAAAACCAGCAAAGCAGUCGGCAUUAAUCAAAUCUCGUUUAUUUUGUCAAACAUUGUAUCCCUUUGAAAAUAAACAUCUUGGUGCUGUUUUGCCCAAAGCGUGCUCGGAGCUGAAGCUCACAUCCAGCCCUGGGCUGCAAGGGGUCAAAUCUACCCCUGCAAAAGGCUCCGUGGGAAGCAAAGGCACCGUUAGGGUUAUGCAGCAUUAUCCCUGAUGCUCCUGGGCAGCCGGAGGCACACAGAGGCUUUUCCUGACUGCCCUGCCACGUUUCCAACACGCAGAACCAGUCUGGGUCUGCAGCAGCCUGUAUCCCAUCAGUGUCAUAUUCUAUUACCAUCCACCGCGUCAGCAAAUGGGAAAAUAAACACGGGGCAGAUAGCGAAGCAAGAGGCUGUUUAAUUACCAACGUGAAGGAGGGCCAUGUUUGUGUACGUUCUGCUGAGGAGUGGACUGAAGUGGUGGCCUUCCCCAUGGUGUGAAAUGGGGCCCUUGUGGGGCGCAGGCGUCUCGUGGCACUUCAGGAUGCGCCAGGCGAUGCGCUGUCCCCAUUGUUUAUAGUUAAGGCUGGAGGAUGGCUCUUGAAGCCGGAUCUCAGCAGCUGACAGUGUUUUCUGAGAACUUGUCAUCUGGACUUCUUCUAGCAAGAUUCCUGGUAUUGGGUGGAAUCGUUCCCAUUUGUCAGAAAAAAAAAAACACCCAAUGUCUUUUGGAAAAAAAAAUAGAGAAGUAGUAAAGGGAAGACGGCGAAAAAAUGACUCAUGACGUCCAUCUGAGACCUGCAGCACCACCCAGGACGUGACCUGGGGAGCCCCGUCAGAGCAGAGGAUGCUGUUCCCAGCACAGUGAGCUGCAGGGCUGGCUGCACGUUGUGGGCAGCCCUGGUGUAGCGCUGGGCCCAUCUCUCAGUGCGUGCUGCCAGCAGGUGCUGCAGGCAUGGCAAACACUGGGCAAUACUGGGGUGCUACUGGGCCAUACUGGGGUGCUACUGGGCCAAGCAGCAAGAGUGCUGAUUGGCAUGGGUAAUUGCAGGGGGGUCAGGGAAUGUGGGAGGAUGCUGAUCUGUGCUUGUGCCUGGUCGCACCUGCCUUAAUUGCUGCCUCUUUGCAUGGGACCAGCACAGGUGCUGCUGCUGGAUGCUGCCCUGAGCUCUCCCCCAGCCCAACCCGAGCUGCAGGGGCAGGAAAGCACAGUCUUUGUGCUGCAUCCUGCCCUUCUGGGGGCGGCUUCUGUGUUUUGUGUCAUGCUGGUAUGACCGUUCCACCCUUGGAACAGCCCUAGGAGUCAUCCUUGGGCACACAGUUUCCUAUAUCCACCACGCCUCAUGUACCACACUGAGCCCAUCCUGGUCUGCUUUCAGGGAGCAGCAAUCUGGACUUGCAGGUGCAUGGAAUAAUAAAUCCCUCUUCUUUUUCCUUUAGCAAAGAUGGCUUAGGACCAUUUCUACCAGCACCCGUGGCACUGUCAGGACUCAUUGCUCUCGACUACUGUUCUGGGUUCCAAGGGAGCCAUUAGAAAGAGGAUAAAGUGUAUUUGCCACUGCAAUAGAAACAAGAUGAGAAUUAGUCCAUGAAUCACUCACUAAAGUCAAACAUAUGGAGUAAAGAGCGGAUUUAUUUACAUCUUUCUCUCACCCUCCGAGCGCAUGGGAUGGCCACAAAGCACCAAGCAAUGGGGAUGUGCCACAAUGGCAUUGGGUCACAGCUCCAUCCCAGCGCUGGGGGAAAGCUUUGUUUGCACCAUUGGGGUUUCCUUCAGAGCUGUGCUGUUGGGGCAGAAUGUCCGGACGGGGAGAUGGGCCAUAGCUGUGAGCAACAGCUUGGAUGCAAAUGUCGAGCAGUCGUCUAUCUGCUGGAGAAGGAGUAAAUAUAGAUGUGGGUCUUGCACCUUUUAAACACUGCAUGUCUGCGGACUGCCAAUGUGGCUAUGGGAUUUGCAUGCUGCUUUAUUUAGUAUUACAUACGCUGCCUCGUGUUUACAGAAACCGCCCUGCAGACACCAAAUGUGCAACCAC